UGCAGUCUCUGCAAUAAAUUGCAUAUAUUAAUCAGAUUUUAGGUAUCCAAUAUCCAGAUAAUAGUAUCACAAAUAGAGAAAUUACAAGAAGUUAUCAUAUAAGUAUCUUGUGAAGCAACCGUUUGCUUCUUUCUCUUGUUCUUAGACCUAUUUGGGUCAAGGGUGACUAUAUAAGUAGGAUAAUUCCUUUUUUAAUGACCCAUCUUCUUACAGAAAAAGUAUUUUGCUUGGCUCUUGUCAACUUUUGAUAAUUUACUCUGCUUAGGAUCGACAGCAC
rnacentral:lncRNA from 1 species